UUGAAGCAUAGAGCGCGCUUUAUUGCGGCUCGACCUUCACAUCCAUUCACCCUGUGCACCGUAAUAAUUUCAUUAUUAUUCUCAUCAAACCCUACUAGUCUAUGAAUGUAAAAAAACUUUAUAAUUAAAAUA
rnacentral:misc_RNA from 1 species